GCAAGUCGAGGGGUAACAGUUCCAAGCAAUUGGAAGCUGACGACCGGCGCACGGGUGCGUAACGCGUAUGCAACCUACCUUUAACUGGGAGAUAGCCCGGAGAAAUCCGGAUUAAUAUCCCAUAAUAUUUAAGAAUGGCAUCAUUUUUAAAUUAAAGCUUCGGCGGUUUUAGAUGGGCAUGCGUGACAUUAGUUAGUUGGUGAGGUAACGGCUCACCAAGACGGCGAUGUCUAGGGGUUCUGAGAGGAUUAUC
rnacentral:rRNA from 1 species